rnacentral:lncRNA from 1 species
UGCUUUUUUUUAUUGUCUUUUGAUAUCUAUAUUUUUGCAUUCAUUUAUUUAUUUUCUCUGAUGUGGGCUGUCUGCUUAUGUACUGCUUUGUAGAGCUGCUUGUUGAGUUAUUCAGUUAUUCAGUUAUCAAGUUCUGGGCAGAAUAUUGACAUCUAGGUUUUAUAAAACUUUCUCCUAGGUCCUGAAGUUGUUCCACAUGGCAGUUUCUGGUGAAAUUCUUCUGGAGAAGACAAGAGGCAGGAAGUUGACUCAGAGAGCUUACCAAGUAGGAAUAAACAAAGGAAAAUCUAAGAAAACAAGAUGGGAGAAGCUGAGUAAGUGAAAUCUUCUUGCCAAAGGUUGUGUCUGGGUGACUCAUCUAAAUUAAAUGUUGCAGAGUUGAUCUGAUUGUUGGGCCUUCUUAAUGGUAAAUCUCUUCAAAGUCAGUUGACUCAAUGUAGCAAUUAGCUGAAUUGAUCAUUAAACCAGAUCAAACCCAGUAAAUUAGCUAUCCUUUGGUCCUCUGUUUUGCAAUCAUACCAACAUAGUCAUCAAUCAGAGGAACAACCAUCCAACGGACAAACAAAAAUUAGAACGGAGUAUAAAAUCAAUACCUAUCACUGAAAUACUCAUUUUCCCUUUGAUGUUCAUGCAAUACAUCAAAAUUAUUUAUGUUUUGUAUUUAGAUUUUGUUAAUGUACUAGUGACUCCCUAGUGUGGACUUGUAGAUACUGAGAACUUAUUUGCAAGAUUGCACUGAAAUUUUAUU